rnacentral:rRNA from 1 species
UACGUAGGGCGCAAGCGUUGUCCGGAAUUAUUGGGCGUAAAGAGCUCGUAGGCGGCCAGUUGCGUCCGCUGUGAAAUCCCAGGGCUUAACCCUGGGCGUGCAGUGGAUACGGGCUGGCUGGAGGCAGGCAGGGGAGAACGGAAUUCCCGGUGUAGCGGUGAAAUGCGCAGAUAUUAGGAGGAACACCAGUGGCGAAGGCGGCUUUCUGGACAGUAACUGACGCUGAGGCGCGAAAGCGUGGGGAGCAAACAGG